AUGCAACCUGACCCUGCUGCUACUAAUGUCAAAAAACCUUCAGCUAGGAAAAAGGCCGUGGCCGUGCCUUGGAAGCGAUCAAGAAAGAGAGUCAGUGAAAGAUUGAAGGAAGUGAGGAAUGCCAAAAGACAUGGUGGGCCUGGAUCAACACCUGAUGCACCUUUGACCAUAGGUGAAGAAACUGGUGGUAGUACCUCAAAGAAGAUAUCAAGGAAGAAGAGGAAGGGCAUUGAUCAGUAG